rnacentral:rRNA from 1 species
UACGAAGGGGGCUAGCGUUGUUCGGAAUUACUGGGCGUAAAGCGCACGCAGGUGGCUGAGUCAGUCGAUUGUGAAAGCCCUGGGCUUAACCUGGGAAUUGCAGUCGAUACUACUCGGCUCGAGUAUGGGAGAGGGCAGUGGAAUUCCCGGUGUAGCGGUGAAAUGCGUAGAUAUCGGGAGGAACAUCAGUGGCGAAGGCGGCUGCCUGGCCCAAUACUGACACUCAGGUGCGACAGCGUGGGGAGCAAACAGG